UUUUGGACAAUGGGCGCAAGCCUGAUCCAGCCAUUCCGCGUGAGUGAAGAAGGCCUUCGGGUUGUAAAGCUCUUUCGCAAGGGAAGAAAACUUAUCCUCUAACAUAGGAUGAGGUUGACGGUACCUUGAUAAGAAGCACCGGCUAACUACGUGCCAGCAGCCGCGGUAAUACGUAGGGUGCGAGCGUUAAUCGGAAUUACUGGGCGUAAAGCGUGCGCAGGCUGUUUUGUAAGUCAGAUGUGAAAUCCCUGAGCUCAACUUAGGAACUGCGUUUGAAACUACAAGACUAGAAUAUGUCAGAGGGGGGUAGAAUUCCACGUGUAGCAGUGAAAUGCGUAGAGAUGUGGAGGAAUACCAAUGGCGAAGGCAGCCCCCUGGGAUAAUAUGACGCUCAUGCACGAA
rnacentral:rRNA from 1 species